CGCGUAGGCGGUCUUGUAAGUCAGAUGUGAAAGCCCCGGGCUCAACCCGGGAAUAGCAUUUGAUACUGCGAGGCUUGAGUCCGGGAGAGGAUGGCGGAAUUCCCAGUGUAGAGGUGAAAUUCGUAGAUAUUGGGAAGAACACCGGUGGCGAAGGCGGCCAUCUGGACCGGUACUGACGCUGAGGCGCGAAAGCGUGGGGAGCAAACA
rnacentral:rRNA from 1 species